rnacentral:rRNA from 1 species
AUACGUAGGGUCCAAGCGUUAUCCGGAUUCAUUGGGUUUAAAGGGUCCGCAGGCGGGAAAAUAAGUCAGUGGUGAAAGCCUACAGCUCAACUGUAGAACUGCCAUUGAUACUGUUUUUCUUGAGUAUAGAUGAAGUGGGCGGAAUAUAUCAUGUAGCGGUGAAAUGCAUAGAUAUGAUAUAGAACACCGAUUGCGAAGGCAGCUCACUAAACUAUUACUGACGCUCAGGGACGAAAGCGUGGGGAGCGAACAGAAUUAGAUACCCCAGUAGUCC